AUUUUGAAAAAAUAAGUGUUUAAAAUAUCACGAAAGAAUCCCACACUAUAAAAAAUUAGUGUUUAAAGCAGGUUCUCAAGCCUGGAUAAUGGUGCAGCGCAAGGUAAUGAUUAAGAGGAACAGCAGGGGGCAUUCAUAAUGUGCCGUUAAAGGUGAAAUUCUUGGUCCGGCGCAAGACGAACGACUGCGAAAGCAUUUCGACAAGAUUGUUUUCUUU
rnacentral:ncRNA from 1 species